CUGCAGCCAAUUAAGCCGACUGAGUUCCUUUCCUCAUGGGGGCCCAGUGUGCAAUGGCUGCAAACAGCAGCUUCCCUGGUAGUGAUGCAGCCUGUCUGUUGUAUGGGUUGCUCUAAGGGACCUUGGAGACAGAC
ensembl:snoRNA SNORA70 Small nucleolar RNA SNORA70